UUAGCUCAGUUGGUAGAGCACUCCACAUGUUAUGAAGAGGUCCUGGGUUCGAUACCCGGACCAGGCU
rnacentral:tRNA from 1 species